GUUGAUCCUUCCCAUAUUAUAUUGUUAUGUUUAAGGAUUAACCCUUCAAGUGUUAAUUUAAAGGCCCAGUAGGAUGGAACUGCGGGCGGCUCCUUUUUACAAUAAAAAAUUUUUUGGUUAAUUGGUACAAAGAUAACUUUGUGAAAGAUAAAACUUAUACCUGAGACGAUCCGGGGAGUAAUUAUACUUUUUGGCCCCCGGCCGCGAGGUUGGGGAGAAAAGACAUUUUCUUGUGAAAAAGGAUGCCGCGACAAUUGAGGAAAGCGACGCUUUUUACAAGUAACCAAUGGGAAUUUCUGAUCUAUCAAUUUGUUGGUAGUAUCGAGGACUACCAAGAUUAUAACGGAUAACGAUAUAGUAAGGGUUCGACAUCGGAGAGGGAGCUUUACAGAUGGCUACCACUUCUAAGGAAGGCAGCAGGCGCGUAAAUCCCCUCUUUCGACCGAAGAGGUAGUGACGACAAAUAACUCUGGGCCCCUCGGGUUUCCUUGAAGGAAUGAUUUAGAAGUAAAUUCUCUUAAGAAAUCAAUGGAGGACAAGUCUUUCAACCCGGAG
rnacentral:rRNA from 1 species